GACGUAGGGGGCGAGCGUUGCCCGGAUUCACUGGGCGUAAAGCGCGUGUAGGCGGUCUGUUAAGUCGGAUGUGAAAGCUCCGGGCUCAACCCGGAAAUUGCAUCCGAUACUGGCAGACUUGAGGACGGUAGAGGUCGGCGGAAUACCAGGUGUACCGGUGAAAUGGGCAGAUAUCUGGUGGAACACCAGUGGCGAAGGCGGCCGACUGGGCCGAUCCUGACGCUGAGACGCGAAAGCCAGGGUAGCGAACCGG
rnacentral:rRNA from 1 species